GAACUUUGAAUACUUCAAUAUAAAUUUGGCAUUACCAACUUCCCAGAUUGUGUAGAUCUAUAUAGCAAUAUUUUUUUUGUUCCCCAUGUAAAAUUCAAGUUACAUGUAUCGUAUACUUUGUUGUACAAGUAGCUUACUUAUAUCUAUAUAGAUUUAGUAGCACAUCAGACUGAUCACGUAGCAGGUAAAAGCUGAUUUCUGAUGGGUUUGAGCAAUUACAGUUUGUUAUUGCUCUGUUCUUGAUGGAUAGUUAAAUUUAAGGCUAUAAAUUAAUUGUUAUAGAUUGUUUGUAUCGAGAGAGUUUGUACUCUUCGAAUAUCCAGAUAUUUCAUUGUUAAUGUGCUACGAUAUUUGAGCAACCAUAUUAACAAGAGUAACAACAAUUUUUAGGAGUAGUUGAUCCGGCUUCAGGUAACAACCAUGUUAACAAGAGUAGCGGCUCCCAUUGCAUGCAUAUCCAUCUCCUCAUUGAUGCUAGAGGUGAAAGGCUGGGAUGCAGCCAGGUUGUUUCAUCGAUACAACGGUCUCCCUUGUGAGCCAUGUCUUGCUGGUAUUUUCCUAGGUUUCCACGAGUCAGAGAAAUUUUUGUUUCCUGUAAUACGAAGGUCUGCCUUGAUUGCUGAUCUGACGUGGAAGAAUAUUUACCAUAGAGGUGUCUUGUUUGCUUACAUUUUCCGUGUUCAUAUUGGCUUGAACCAUAUGAGAGAGAUUGGCACCUGGUUAGAAAUCUAGCGAAGAGAGAUGUCUCACAAAAUUCCUGUACGGAGUGUAUGUGAAAACAUGGUUUCAGAAUAGAUUAGGACAAAUGUCAUGUUUGAGCUACUUCAUUGGAAUAAAAAGUAGCAGCUGGCAGUUCUCAAGUACCUUAUGUUUUGAGCUUGACUCGCUCACACAAUUGUAGGUUCCUUUCAUAGGCUAAGCUUGCAUUAUAUGUUUUCUUUUCUACCUCUUGCGAAAUCUUUCUUUGCUGCAAAUAUUGGCACUGUCCUCUCCAUUUGCCAGGUACAGCUCUAGGCCAAUUCUGUAGCCUAGAGUAGGCGUGGUGUAGAAUUUUAAAGCAUAAGGAGCCAGCUUGCACUACGGGUUUAUGACAGUAUCGCAGGUUAACAUGAUCUGUUAAUCACAACACAUGCAAUUUUAGCUAUAGCAGACGUUGUUGUUGUUCUAUAUAUGUAGGUUCUUAUAAGUGCAUUUAUCUUUGGACCAUACACACCAUCUAAUAUCUAUAUACUUGAAAAGUAAGGGUAACUACAUACAUUAGAGCAAGGGAAACCGUAUACUAAAUGCCUUCUUGAAAUAAUGGUGCUUUGUCUGUGCCUUCCGAACAAAAACAUAACAAUCAACAUAACAAGGUAUGAAAUCUUAUGUCCUCUUUGUUUUAGCUCUACAACUUACUGAUUUGAAAGAGUUGUGUUCAUGAUGUAGUAUGUCGAUGUGUGAAAUAUCAUGUCCUCCUAAUUUUAACUGUUGGCAAUCUUUCAAACAUUUUCAGCAAUAGCUUAUUGUUAUCAUCCGGCUACUUGGCAUCAGAUGGUGCAAAAUUUUCAAAGAUUAGGGAAGUGUAAGAUCUUGGGUGGUCAACAAUCACACCCAAUUUUAGCUAACAUGUGGAAGAUUGCGUUUCAUGGGACAAGCAUAAGAAUCGCCGACAUGAGCCGAGACGAAUACAGUUUAUGGAGGCGAUGCAGACGAAUACAGUUGACAUUGUCGACAGGAUGAAGGAGAUCGCCCAGGUGAUGAAAACCCCUGAUGAUGUGCCGCACUAUCAUGGUGUGCCUCCAACAGCAGGCCACGGCGGGGCUUGCAACGUGCCCAAGCCCAGGGCGUGGAACUCCGUGGAUCAGAGAAAAUGGACCUGGUAGAAACCAAAGGAAGAGGCAAACAUUGUAUCAGCUUUGACAAAUGGAAAAUCAUCAAUUCCUAAAAACUAUUUCUGACACAAGAUAAAGUUGUUAUUCUGGAAGGUCUCAGUAUUAUCAGUGCUCAUAACGAAUGGACUACUACCCUAAACCAUGUUAUGAGAUGUGUCAUAUGUUCCCUCGCCUCUUCUGAUUUCGUGGAGCAACUAUAUUGCAAGACAAAAUAUAUAUGUUUGGUGGAAACCACAAUGGCCGUCAUCUUAGUGACCUUCAGGCCUUGUAACAUUAGCAGGCCAGUGAACUCUGAGGCGUUGACAAGGCAGAUCUGGCUCUUGGAAAAAAGCUAAACUCUGAGGCGUUGGGGAAGGAGAUUGAGGUCACUUCUCUACAACCAGGGAGAGACAAACACUUGGUGCAGUCAGCAAUCCCUUUCUCUACAACCAGGGAGAGACAAACACUUGGUGUAGUCAGCAAUCGCUCGCUGGAGGCAGAAGAUGGGAUGCAUGCGAUUCACUGUCUGUUUUAAAAAAAACAUUCUAAAACCUUCUACAUUGGAUUUCCAAUAUGUGGUGCUUGUGAUUAAUCAUAUACCAAACACACCAUUUUUGAAGAUUACGACUUUUUGCCUUUUCCAUUUUUAUCUGAGAAAAUGUACUAUGCAGAACAAGAGUCAUCUAAAAUAAUCAUAUGGGAGAGAGAUUUUGAAGAAGUGAAUCUUAUUCCA